GACGUAGGGCGCGAGCGUUGUCCGGAUUUAUUGGGCGUAAAGAGCUCGUAGGCGGCUUGUCGCGUCGUCCGUGAAAACCCACAGCUCAACUGUGGGCUUGCGGUCGAUACGGGCAGGCUAGAGUUCGGUAGGGGAGACUGGAAUUCCUGGUGUAGCGGUGAAAUGCGCAGAUAUCAGGAAGAACACCCGUGGCUAAGGCGGUUCUCUAGUACGGUACUGACGCUGAGACGCGAAAGCGUGGGGAGCAAACAGG
rnacentral:rRNA from 1 species